CAUGUCCAUAUCGAUAGAAAAUCGAGUGCUAUGUGGUUUCCCAAGCGAUGUGCAACUAAUCGCUUUAUGUACGCGAUAUAUAGACGCACAAAUUUCACUGAGUUACAAUCGAAUAGGAUUUAGGAGAAGAGAGCCUAAGUCUACUAAGGCGGAAUGUUUCCGAAAAUUUAGAUGAGAUUUAAAAGAUGUGCCUUUGAAUAGUCGGCAACAACAUGCAACUUUCAGUAAUCAAUGGUAAUGGCGUCUCAUAUUACGGAGUCGUACGUAAACUUAACCAUGUUGCAGCACGAUGAAGCCCUUCUUCGCUCCAGCCUGGCCGAAUUUCAGGAAUUGUAGCUGUUCGUUACAGGUGCAGAACAAGAUAAAGGUUUAAGCAGAAUAUGGGAAAUAGCGCCUAAAAGAAUCUCGAAGCGUUCAUUCGAUUAUGUUUGAAUUCCCCGUAGCUCUGAUCAUGCUGGGCAUUUUACUAGGAUAGAACGUUGUCUUUGUGCAGUAAACAAUUUUAUAAACUGAGAAAUGGUAUAAACCUACCAAACAAAACAUACAUGAAGGCUAGGGAUCUUUCUUACACUGUUUUUUUUUUUUUUUUUUUAUCGAGAUACAGUAGGUAGCUGGCUAGAGGGUUGGAAUGGGGGGGGGCAAUUAUGGUUUACCACCAGUAGAUCAGUUAAUGCCAUCUUUGUAAAAAAAAUGGACCUAGGAAUAGGCUGGGCAGGCCAUGACCAACCCACCUAUUUUUAGAGAUUCUGCAAGAACAAGUAUAAGGAAGCAAAUGACCCCACUCCUUUUUUUUAAAUUCUUGCCUUUGCCCCCUGACCCUCACUUAUUGAAACUCCUGGAUCGGCCCCUGCUUAUACCUAAUAAUCAACAGCAAUAGCAAUUUUUAUUUGUUACAUUACGGAAAAGCCUUAAAAUUCCCCCAUUAACUCAAACUUAGUUUUUCAGCCUUUUCUACUCAGUUAGCUUGGAUAUAAAACCCAGGCACAUCUUAGUAUCCAGAUAACGCUUUUCAUACUCCUGGACACAUUUUACCUUGUUAAUUCUAGGUUUCUUGGAUUUUCAACUAUUAUAAUUUUUUGUCUGGUUUUGUUGUUGCUAUUUGAAUUCCAUCACACAUAUUUGAAUAAUGAUACUUUUUUCAUGAUUUGCAUUAAAACAAUGUUUGCAUUAUAAGCCAAGAUAAUUAUGUAAAUUGUCCUUGUAUACACAAAAGGCAGAUAACAGGAACUGAUUUUCAUCUCCCUUAAAAGUUUACAUUUGUAGGUUUAUAUUGUGUAAUAGGGUACUGGCAUUAAAAAAUGACCUUUUUGGGUGCAUGCUUGACAGGAGCAAAAAAUGGCAAAAUUAAAAUUGUAAGGUUGUGUUAGCUUACAUUUUGUUUAUAUUUUGCCUUGAGGUUCCUUGCAUAAUAUAAAACAAAAUUAGCUUUAGUACUUUUUGGUAGAUUAUCCGUUCUUGAGAUGUGAUUGAGCAAAGUUGCCAUAGAUCAUGAAAAAAGUAGCGAUUUUGCCCAAAUUGGGCACUUUCAGACAAGUCAGGAUUUUUACAAUUUGCAAUAUCUCAAGAACGGAUUAUCUACCAAAAAAUAAUAAAGCUUAUUUCGUUUUAUAUUACACAAGGAAUAUCUAUGCAAUAAGUCAAACAAAUAUAAUGUAACACAACAUUACAAUUUGAACUUUGCCAUUUUCUGCUCCUGUCUGCAUGCUCACAUCUUUAAUGGCAAAAUAACAAUGACAUAGUUGUAGCUUUAAGUUCACUUACAAAUCCGCCAAAAAAAUUACUUUUCAGAAAGGGCUAUAUUUUUUUAUCUCUCUCUCUGGCUUGAAUUUGGCUUGAAUUUGCCGCCUAAAAUAUCAAUUGACUUCUAAAAAAUAUUUUUCUCACUCUCAAACCAUGGCAUAUCAACCUUUUUUGUCGUUUCUUUUAAACAGUCAUGUGGCAAUUUGUUUGACAUUUUUCUGAUACUUAACUUUGUUUUAAGUACAUUCUUUACUUUAUCAAAUAGGAUUAAAUGAUUUAAUUAGAAGCCCAGCAUUGUAUUUCCUACCUAGAACCCCACUACCUUGGACCAAUCUCUUUAGAAGAUUAGAAUGAUCAGGAUAUAAAUGGAGCUACAAUUUUGAAAUAAAUGCCUUUCAUUUUUUCAGGACCUCUCCCUAACUAUUCUCAUUUUAUAGCCCCCACCUCACCCCCUUCCUGGUACUCAUAUGAUGGCAAUUGAAUUUCUUUUAUGGAUCCUAUUAUCAUUAAUGUCACAUGAGAUAUUUAAGGGAGGUGAAUUGGUGCUGAAUUAAAGAUAAUGUAAAAAUAGGAUGUAACCCUUCUCUGUCUGUGUAGAAAUAUAUUCAAGCACAACUUUAAUAAACAGAUGUUUUAUGGA